rnacentral:rRNA from 1 species
AGUGAACGCUGGCGGUAGGCCUAACACAUGCAAGUCGAACGGCAGCACAGUAAGAGCUUGCUCUUACGGGUGGCGAGUGGCGGACGGGUGAGGAAUACAUCGGAAUCUACUUUUUCGUGGGGGAUAACGUAGGGAAACUUACGCUAAUACCGCAUACGACCUACGGGUGAAAGCAGGGGAUCUUCGGACCUUGCGCGAUUGAAUGAGCCGAUGUCGGAUUAGCUAGUUGGCGGGGUAAAGGCCCACCAAGGCGACGAUCCGUAGCGGGUCUGAGAGGAUGAUCAGCCACACUGGAACUGAGACACGGUCCAGACUCCUACGGGAGGCAGCAGUGGGGAAUAUUGGACAAUGGGCGCAAGCCUGAUCCAGCCAUACCGCGGGGGUGAAGAAGGCCUUCGGGUUGUAAAGCCCUUUUGUUGGGAAAGAAAAGCAGCAGGUUAAUACCCCGCUGUUCGGACGGUACCCAAAGAAGAAGCACCGGCUAACUGCGU